rnacentral:rRNA from 1 species
UACGAAGGGUGCAAGCGUUACUCGGAAUUACUGGGCGUAAAGCGUGCGUAGGCGGUUUGUUAAGUCUGUCGUGAAAGCCCCGGGCUCAACCUGGGAAUGGCGAUGGAUACUGGCGAGCUAGAGUACGGUAGAGGAGAGUGGAAUUCCCGGUGUAGCAGUGAAAUGCGUAGAGAUCGGGAGGAACAUCAGUUGCGAAGGCGGCUCUCUGGACCAGUACUGACGCUGAGGCACGAAAGCGUGGGGAGCGAACGGG